rnacentral:rRNA from 1 species
CCUACGGGGGGCAGCAGUGGGGAAUAUUGCACAAUGGGCGCAAGCCUGAUGCAGCCAUGCCGCGUGUGUGAAGAAGGCCUUCGGGUUGUAAAGCACUUUCAGCGAGGAGGAAGGGCGAUGUCUUAAUACGGCAGCGCAUUGACGUUACUCGCAGAAGAAGCACCGGCUAACUCCGUGCCAGCAGCCGCGGUAAUACGGAGGGUGCAAGCGUUAAUCGGAAUUACUGGGCGUAAAGCGCACGCAGGCGGUUUGUUAAGUCAGAUGUGAAAUCCCCGCGCUUAACGUGGGAACUGCAUUUGAAACUGGCAAGCUAGAGUCUCGUAGAGGGGGGUAGAAUUCCAGGUGUAGCGGUGAAAUGCGUAGAGAUCUGGAGGAAUACCGGUGGCGAAGGCGGCCCCCUGGACGAAGACUGACGCUCAGGUGCGAAAGCGUGGGGAGCAAACAGGAUUAGAUACCCUAGUAGUC